rnacentral:rRNA from 1 species
UACGUAGGGUGCAAGUGUUAAUCGGAAUUACUGGGCGUAAAGCGUGCGCAGGCGGUUGUGCAAGACAGAUGUGAAAUCCCCGGGCUUAACCUGGGAAUGGCAUUUGUGACUGCACGGCUAGAGUGUGUCAGAGGGGGGUAGAAUUCCACGUGUAGCAGUGAAAUGCGUAGAUAUGUGGAGGAAUACCGAUGGCGAAGGCAGCCCCCUGGGAUAACACUGACGCUCAUGCACGAAAGCGUGGGGAGCAAACAGG